rnacentral:sRNA from 1 species
GAAGGAUGAGAAGCUUCGACUAAGGUUCGAUUCGAGCGCAGCGAGAACGCGUUGCCGCAGGCAACGACCCGAAGGGCGAAGCGCGCAGCGCUGAGUCAUCCUUCCCCCACCACCA